rnacentral:ncRNA from 21 species
UAGCACCAUCUGAAAUCGGUUA